rnacentral:rRNA from 1 species
GACGAACGCUGGCGGCGUGCUUAACACAUGCAAGUCGAACGGAAAGGCCCUGCUUUUGUGGGGUGCUCGAGUGGCGAACGGGUGAGUAACACGUGAGUAACCUGCCCUUGACUUUGGGAUAACUUCAGGAAACUGGGGCUAAUACCGGAUAGGAGCUCCUGCUGCAUGGUGGGGGUUGGAAAGUUUCGGCGGUUGGGGAUGGACGCGCGGCUUAUCAGCUUGUUGGUUGGGUAGUGGCUUACCAAGGCCUUGACGGGUAGCCGGCCUGAGAGGGUGACCGGCCACAUUGGGACUGGAAUACGGCCCAGACUCCUACGGGAGGCAGCAGUGGGGAAUAUUGCACAAUGGGCGGAAGCCUGAUGCAGCAACGCCGCGUGCGGGAUGACGGCCUUCGGGUUGUAAACCGCUUUCGCCUGUGACGAAGCGUGAGUGACGGUAAUGGGUAAAGAAGCACCGGCUAACUACGUG